AUUGAACGCUGGCGGCAUGCCUUACACAUGCAAGUCGAACGGCAGCACGGGUGCUUGCACCUGGUGGCGAGUGGCGAACGGGUGAGUAAUACAUCGGAACAUGUCCUGUAGUGGGGGAUAGCCCGGCGAAAGCCGGAUUAAUACCGCAUACGAUCUACGGAUGAAAGCGGGGGACCUUCGGGCCUCGCGCUAUAGGGUUGGCCGAUGGCUGAUUAGCUAGUUGGUGGGGUAAAGGCCUACCAAGGCGACGAUCAGUAGCUGGUCUGAGAGGACGACCAGCCACACUGGGACUGAGACACGGCCCCGACUCCUACGGGAGGCAGCAGUGGGGAAUUUUGGACAAUGGGCGAAAGCCUGAUCCAGCAAUGCCGCGUGUGUGAAGAAGGCCUUCGGGUUGUAAAGCACUUUUGUCCGGAAAGAAAUCCUUGGCCCUAAUACGGUCGGGGGAUGACGGUACCGGAAGAAUAAGCACCGGCUAACUACGUG
rnacentral:rRNA from 1 species